GAUGAACGCUGGCUACAGGCUUAACACAUGCAAGUCGAGGGGAAACGACGGGGAAGCUUGCUUCCCCGGGCGUCGACCGGCGCACGGGUGAGUAACGCGUAUCCAACCUGCCUCUGACUGAGGGAUAACCCGUCGAAAGUCGGCCUAAUACCUCAUGGUAUCGUCUGCGGGCAUCCAACGACGAUUAAAGAUUUCAUCGGUCAGGGAUGGGGAUGCGUCUGAUUAGCUUGUUGGCGGGGUAACGGCCCACCAAGGCUACGAUCAGUAGGGGUUCGGAGAGGAAGGUCCCCCACAUUGGAACUGAGACACAGUCCAAACUCCUACGGGAGGCAGCAGUGAGGAAUAUUGGGCAAUGGGCGAGAGCCUGAACCAGCCAAGUAGCGUGCAGGAAGACGGCCCUAUGGGUUGUAAACUGCUUUUAUGCGGGGAUAGAGUGAGGGACGUGUCCCUCAUUGCAGGUACCGAAUGAAUAAGGACCGGCUAAUUCCGUG
rnacentral:rRNA from 1 species